CUCCACACCUCCCUGCAAGCUGAAGGAGCCGGCUCCAGCGUUGGCCGGUUCAGAAAGGGGUUCCCACAGUGCAGCGGUGGGCCGAAGGGCUCCUCAAGCGCGGCCAGAGUGGGCGCCAAGGCCGAGGAGGCGCCGAGAGCGAGCGAGGGCGCACGCUGUCACCUCUCACAGAGAAGCUGAUAUUGGAAAUGAAAUACCUCUGACUCCUUGAAAUAAAUUACAACCCUAGAGACUUGAGAAGACUGUCUAGGUUCCAGUUUUGUUAACCAGAAAAUAAGAAUGGCUUUGCCCACUAAUCAACAUCUCUUGACAAGUCCUGAUUCUGAUGCAGCACCACACCAGGAGUCAUGAGAUCCAACACCCCAGAGGCAGCUCGUUUGGACCAAGUUACACAUGAUCAACACACAGAAGAGUUAACACAUCAUGAGGCAAUAUUAAAAUAUAAG